rnacentral:rRNA from 1 species
UACAGAGGGUGCGAGCGUUAAUCGGAAUUACUGGGCGUAAAGCGUGCGUAGACGGUUAUUUAAGUCGGAUGUGAAAGCCCCGGGCUCAACCUGGGAACUGCGUCUGAUACUGGAUGGCUAGAGGUUGGGAGAGGGAUGCGGAAUUCCAGGUGUAGCGGUGAAAUGCGUAGAUAUCUGGAGGAACACCGGUGGCGAAGGCGGCAUCCUGGACCAAUUCUGACGCUGAGGAGCGAAAGCCAGGGGAGCAAACGGG